GAUGAACGCUGGCGGCGUGCUUAAUACAUGCAAGUCGAGCGAACGGACGCUAAUCUUGUUUCUCUGAUGUUAGCGGCGCACGUGUGUGUAACACGUGUAUAACCUACCUAUAAGACUGGGAUAACUUCGGGAAACCGGCGCUAAUACCGUAUAAUAUUUUGCUCCGCAUGGUUCAAAAGUGAAAGACGGUCUUGCUGUCAGUUAUCGAUGGUUCCGCGCUGCAUUAGCUGGUUGGUAAGGUAACGGCUUACCAAGGCAACGAUGCAUAGCCGACCUGAGAGGGUGAUCGGCCACACUGGAACUGAGACACGGUCCAGACUCCUACGGGAGGCAGCAGUAGGGAAUGGUCCGCAAUGGGCGAAAGCCUGACGGAGCAACGCCGCGUGAGUGAUGAAGGUCUUCGGAUCGUAAAACUCUGUUAUGAGGGAAAAACAUAUGUGUAAGUAACUGUGCACAUCUUGACGGUACCUAAUCAGAAAGCCACGGCUAACUACGUG
rnacentral:rRNA from 1 species